UCCCACUAAGCUUAAUGGAGUCUGGACCUUACCAAGAUGGUGUCAACCCCUCCCAACUUUCUGAUUUAUGAACUUUGAAAAUCUUCCCUCCUAUUACAAACUUCAGAGACAGUCUUUGGUAUACUAAAUGGCUAAUUUAUUUCUUGGGAAAGAAAGAUAAAAGGGGAAAAGAAGACUCACACUCUUGAUCAGACUCAUCCUAAUGAAAUCAGCGACAAUGGUAACAGUUUUCCCCACUAACCAUCACAGUCAUUACCUAUUCUAACAGAAUGCAAUGCAGCUUGAAAGAAUUGCUAAAAAAUAAAUGAGCAUUAACUGUGAAGUUCUCAUCAAAAAAGAAAACUUGUCUUUGGAAAGUGUGAUUACUCCACACAAUUGAUUCAACUCUAAACAUCUGAAACCGUAUAUGAAACGACAGCUGCAUUUGGAGAAUGAAGUUCAAUUAAAUGAUGAGACUAUUGAAGUCUGAGGCCACUUUGAAAGACUUCAGAACUCUAAAAAUGCAAUAGCCAAUGAUGACUCCAAAGCAUCAAAGAUGAAGACAAAAUCCCCAUUCCAACAGAAAGGUUAAAGAUAUAAAAUUCCAAAUGUAUCUUACAUUUUGGGACAUGACCAACAUAAAGCUUUUUGCUCAUAUUUUUUGAUUGAUAUGGUUUUCUUUUUUUUUUAAAUUAUUUAGUUGGGGUAGAAGGGGUGGGAGAGAAAAUAAAUUGUUAAUCAGGAUGAUUAUACA
rnacentral:lncRNA from 1 species